rnacentral:rRNA from 1 species
GACGAACGCUGGCGGCGUGCCUAAUACAUGCAAGUCGAACGCUUCUUUUUCACCGAACUUCGGUUCAUCGAAAAAGAGGAGUGGCGAACGGGUGAGUAACACGUGGGUAACCUGCCCAUCAGAAGGGGAUAACACUUGGAAACAGGUGCUAAUACCGUACAAUGCUUUUUCUCGCAUGAGAGCAAGCUGAAAGGCGCUUUUGCGUCACUGAUGGAUGGACCCGCGGUGCAUUAGCUAGUUGGUGAGGUAACGGCUCACCAAGGCCACGAUGCAUAGCCGACCUGAGAGGGUGAUCGGCCACACUGGGACUGAGACACGGCCCAGACUCCUACGGGAGGCAGCAGUAGGGAAUCUUCGGCAAUGGACGAAAGUCUACCGAGCAACG